UUCGCAAACAGCACAAUAACUUUGUUUGUUCACCAUCCACAACCAUCGGCUUCCAUCAUACGCUUUCCUUUUCUAAUUUUUGGAUAAUCUUUCUGGCUUAAAAACUUGAAGAAUUCCAAAAGAUAUUGUUGGUUAAUCUCUUCGUCUCAUACAUCAAGUCUGGAAACUCCAACCAGAAAAAGAAAUUCAGUUUCAGUGGGUUGGCAGAAAUUCAAAGGAAGGGUCAUAUUUUGAUUGACGAUGUUAACCAUUUGUAAGGGCUUUGCUCUUAUAUAUGCAACCAAAAACCUCCGACUUCCUUUUCAAGAAGAAAUAUUGUUAUUUAUGGCAUCAGGAGAGCGUUUUGGAAUGGGCGGUUUCGGAAAACAAGAGGGAAGUGUUAAAAUCGACCAUGGCUUACUAUUUGUGAACAUUAACAGAACUUGGUAUGAUGACGACCCUUAUAUUUUGGCAAACAUGGCAACACAAAUUGUGUAUGCCAAAGAUAGUGUAAUUGAGAGAAUAGAGAUGAACUAGGAGAAGAAGAU